UCCUCCUCCUCCUCCUAUAGCUCUCUUCCUCCUCCUCCCUGACGCAGAACAAAGUGGAGGCGGCUUAAGAAGGAGGAGCAGGCAGAGGAGAUGGAGCAGCAGUGGUAGGAAGAGGUGGUAUGGAACCUCCAUCCCCAGCUUCUCUACCUCGAGCAGCGGCCGGCUGGGCUCGGCCUCCUCCGGCCCCAUCUCUCCACGGCCAGACCUGCCGAUUCCAGGAUGUUUGAGGAAAAUCCAAGCAGGCUGCAGAUCAGAGGUGACACAAUCCAUUAUGAUGUUGUUGCAAACUCGGCUGCAUCUCUGGAGUAAUUUUUGUUAGUUGAUCUGCUGGUAUGCCUCUUUGCAACCUCAAUAUUGUGUUUUCUGUGAUCUGCUGUCCCGCCAUGGGUAAAACAAAAUGUGCCCUUUUCUGGUUGUUUGUACCAUUUAAAUCACUUUCAGUAUUUAGAUGUUCUCAUGACUUGGCAUGGUAACAGGAUAAGUACUUGAGGAACUCUAAAUAUUUUUUGAGACAUAUCUAACAGGAUAGAUGGCGAAGUGCUGCUUAUAGUAUGGCACUUUCUUCCGUUGUUGUUCUCCCAUUAUUUAGUAGGAGAAAUAAAGAGGAGGACCAAUUGUUGUUGUGGAUAUGUAGAGAAAUUCAUUCUGCAUAUUUUAUAUGGAAACUUUUUCUUUGAUUACAUCUUUUUGCUUUAAUUGAGGCUUCUCUUGUCCACCUAAUGAUAUAGGAAGAAAU